rnacentral:rRNA from 1 species
UACGUAGGGGGCAAGCGUUGUCCGGAUUUAUUGGGCGUAAAGCGCUCGCAGGUGGUCCGUUGCGUCGUGCGUGAAAGACCCCGGCUCAACUGUGGGCGUGCGGUCGAUACGGGCAUCACUGGAGUUCGGCAGGGGAGACUGGAAUUCCUGGUGUAGCGGUGAAAUGCGCAGAUAUCAGGAGGAACACCGGUGGCCGAAGGCGGGUCUCU